rnacentral:lncRNA from 1 species
UGACAAUGAGAAAGGAGAAAACAUUUCAUACAGAAUAUGCUGUAUCACUAGUGAUUAAAUCAGAAACAAUUAGAAACUUUAUUUGUCUGUGUCAGUAAUAUGUACCAUUUAUAAGGAAGAGCACAAUUAGUGCAUUUCCCGCCCCCCCCCCAAGCUGUGCACAAUACACACAAAAUAAAAUAAUUUUACACAACUAUAAUAAUAACAAUCCUGAACAACCAGAAUCAUAGUUUCCUAGAACAUGAAAAUUUAAAAAGCAAACAAACCAAAAAGCUUUCAAAUUGAAAUCGACCAAUGCAAGAAUUUCUUAAAGUUCUCUGUGAAAAUUUGCUACAGGAUUAUUGACAUUCCUAAUACAGCUAAAAAAUGAGUGCAAAAAUUUUUCUAAUGUUUAAACAACUUAUAUUCCUUGAAUAUAUUUACUUGGUGCUUCUAGGCUAGCUUUCCAUUUAGCAAUUCUCAAAAAAAAAAAAAAUAAGGAUGGGAAGGAUGGGUUAGAAUGACAAAGAAUUGUAAAGUGUGGGCCAUAGAAAAGUUCCAUUGCCAACAAAGAUAAAAGAUGGGAUACACUGGGCUUUCUCAGUGAUCUGGAUCACCAACAUGAUUGCCCUUCUUGGUUUAAAAUGGAGAGAUAUAUUUAUCUGCAAGUCGGUCAAAGAUAAAGAGGGUGGUUUUCCAAACAUAUGCCUUAUGCUCUCUUAGUUAAAGAAAUUCUUGGGUAUAAAUACAAUUUGGACAAUUGCUUUGAUACAGUUUCAGUGUGUUUAUGUUAAAAGAGUUUCAUAAUUGUUUUUUCUUGCAAGAUAAAAAUCUUUCCAUAUGGCUUUCUUCACUUUUACUCAUGAAAAUAGUAAUCACAUAAACUGUAACCCUUCUGAGGGCAGGGAUCUAGACUGUUUUGUUCAUGGCUUAGUCCCCAGAAAGUAUCAUACUACCUGGCACAUUAAGUGGGUAACCAGCAUUUAAUUACUCAUUCAGUCACCAAAUGUUUAUUAAAUGAGGAAGGAUCAUGGUUACUGAGUGACAGAAGAAAAAAUAAGUCUCAACAGCUUUAAUUUAUUAAGUAUUUUUGAAUCAAUACAGAGGGCUAGGAAUGUCUCCAGCCUGGGAUUCCUUAUAGACACAGAAGUCUCCGAGAGGUGACCAAAGUCAUUCUAUUAUUUUUCUCAUUAGUGGACUCACUACUUUGGAAUGUUGGGUUUAUCCAUGUUCUUUGGUAUUUUAACAUAGAAACAGCUAUUCUUUUUAAAGGGUUAAAAAUAUCCCAGUCCAAUCCUCCUGGGAGGUACUAGUCUUAUUUAAUUGCCUUCUCUUUCAGCAUAAGUAGAGGAGACAACACUUUUAAAGGCCCGUUGGUCACCCUGGCUUCUUUCUUACUCAGCAACUACUGAUAUAAUCAAAGAGGACUAGACUGGACAGUGAAAGAAACAGGGCUCAAAAUAGCCUUUUAAGUAAAAAAAUAAAAUGAACAAACCAGCACUAUCUACCAUCUGUGCCAGACAGUGCAGAUGUGAAAUAAAUACUUUGCAGGGAGGGGUGUUGUGGAAAGGGUGGCUCUGAAAGCCUAGGCACAUCCAACAUAUCAACGUCUCUAUAAGGCCUUUCUCCUUGGCCUUCCUGAAUUAAUGGGUGAUUUUUAGAGGCCUCUGAUGUGUUCCACAUGGCUAAUUUUCCAUGAAGAUCUUUGUAGUUUGCCUGCUAUCCUCUCAAUAGCUUUAACUUCUCCCCACAUGACAGUUAUUGCUUCUUAGAAAUGAAUGUGCAGAACCGUGAACAAUAAUCCAUUUUCUCCUUUUAUCCCUAGUAAUUAAUCAAACUCAAUAACAGCACAAAAGUAACAACUCAGGUGAAAAGAAAACUCACUUAUGUCUUCAAUGUCCAAUCAACAUUGCCAAAUGGGAGAACAGUAUGUACUAUACUCUACUAUAUACAGAUACUCUUUGUUUUGUUUUAUUUGUUUUUCACCAUGCACUGUGUAACAGGUAUCACAACAACAUUUCCGAACGGCACAUGAAGAAGGAGCAAAUGUUCAGUCAUGACUGGAACAGGAUUGUGCAAGCCAUGGAUGCCUUUGAAAAUAAAACUGACAGACAAUCCCAAGCAACGGCAACAUGGGACUGAGACACAUGUUAAUGCAAAUGGAAAACGAUGAUGUGCUUUUUGAAUGGGGUUAUUCUUACUGUUUGCAUAGGGGAUGGCAGGUGGACAGGAGGAACAGGGUUGGGAUGGGGCACCUGGGGGCUUAGCUGGGCUGAAUGCUGGAAGAAGGACCUUGCCAAUCACAGUCCAGAGCUAAAGAGAUAAGAAAGAAAGGAUUUUGCACGUUCCUGGGAAUCUAGGCACGUUUUCCUUGUACCUGUUAAACGAGACUGCCAGGUAUCACAUGUUUAAAUAUCAGACUAUUUCUAGAACCAUCGGAUUUCCUGGCUCCAUUCCACUUUUAUGCUUCUUCUUGGAGGCAGCUUCACCUCCACUCACAUUCCGGAGAUAAGCAUGAACUUUGGUAAUACGAUGAAGACAUGCUUCUUUCUUCUUCCAUGCCCAGAUUUUUUCUUAAUCCAAAAUAAGUUUUAAAGUGAUUGGGGGAGGUGAGGGGGAAUACUAAUGAUUUAAAUUUUUACCAAAACCCAUUUACAUUUGGAUGGUUUCACUUUCCACAAAGAAAAGCAACAACCCUGACUCUCCCAAAAAAACAAAACAAAACAAAAUAACAAAAAUAAAGCCAAACAUUAACUACCUCCCCAGCUCCACUGAAAACAAAACCAAAAACAAAACAAAUCAAAGCCUUAAGGAUUUAUCAACCUGGAGAGAGUGCAGCCCUUCUAGACUGAGCUGCAAAGAUGGCCCUGCCUCCAUGCCUUGUUGAACAUGAUGAUGCCCCUGGGAAUGGGAGGUGAUGGUUUUUUACUUCGGCCCUAGUACAGAGUAUGCUCUUGAAGCUGGAUUCCAUCAGCAGGAAAAUCUUGGUCCACUACAGAAGGUUGAACAACAGUGACUUAAACUUCUUGAUGGGUAGAACACAGGGGUUUAGAGCACAUUUGAGCUGGGGGACUUCAAAUCCUGCCUUCGCAGCUGACUGUGUGACUCUGGAAGAUUACUUAACUUCUCUGGGCCUCAAUUUCCUAAUCUGUUAAAUGGGGAUGGUACUGCUCACUUCAGAGUGCUGUUGUUCAUUUCAGGUGGCCCUGUUCCUUUCACUCAGAAACUUUGAAGCAGGUUCUUACCAAAUGCUCUUUACUGUAUCAGGAGAACAAAGAUUGAAGAAGGUAUGGGCAGUUUGUGAAUCCAGACUCCUGGAUUUGUGCUGCUUUGUGCAUUCAUGAUCACACAUUCACACAGCCCAAUCAACUAUCACAGAGACUGGAAAAUCUCAAGACCUGAAGAUACUACCUUUGAUCAAACUGUGACAAUAUUUAUGGAAUUAAACUACAUGGCACAGUCAUUUACCUUUUAAAAUUAGGUGUCCAAGAGAGAAUCCAAGGGGUGCUGACAAGGUCUAGAUAACUGAUACAUUUGACAACGGACAGAGUGUCCAAGGAAAAUAUCAAGAAGCUUCAUCAUGUUCAACUCCGACUGUGACUACACAAUGCUCUCAAAUCUCCAGGCAGCCUCUAUUGAUUGAUCUGAGUUGGCAGAUGAGUUGGCAGUUUUUUAUCUACAAGUUGGGAAUAAUAUAUGCAUUACGAAGAGAUUACAAGUACUAACUGGAGAAAACAAUCUGAGACCUUGGCAAAUAAUAGAUUAUCCAACUUAAUUCCAAUAUUAUUAAAAUUAGUGAUCAUUAGCUGGCACUUUACAACAGAAAUGAUCUGAAUAAAUUUUCAACAUAUACAUGCUCUGAUACCAUGACAGGAAAAUGCAAGGGCAGUGACUGGAAGCUGGGAGAGAGGGUCAACAGCUGAAUCUCAGCCUGAUGGAGGCCACCAUUUAAUAAGUAAAUACAUGCACGGCUAUUUAGAUCCUGCAUCAGACAGGUCAUCAGAAAACAUGAAGCUAAAUGCAGUAAAGAAUUACUCUCUUGAACUCUUGAAAAUAUCAAAAACAUGAAGCUAAAUGCAGUAAAGAAUUAGUCUCUUGAACUCUUGAAAAUAUCAUUUUCUUAUAGAAAUGGUUUAAAAAUUUCUUUUUUAUUAUUUCUAAUUUUCCUUCAGAAAAUUGUGAGUUUUAACCUACAACACAUACACUCCAAGGUAAUGCCACUCUAAUGCUGUCUAGUUGAUCUGAAUAACUAACUGGUCAAUUAUCAGAUCCACCAAACUGUCUCUCUGGAGAUUAACUUCUGCCAGCAUAUUGGUUUCUGUUCAUUUUCACAAGAUUGACAGGCUCAUUACAGCAAUAUUAACAUCUUCCUUUGAGCACUCACACUGUGCAAUUGUAAUUUUGCAUAUGUUGAUGAGCAGGCAAUUACAUCAAAGAGUGAACACUGGGCUGAUGUGCAAGGCACUAUUUAAUUAUAAAAACAGUAUAGGAUUGAGCCCUGUCACUGAGUCUUCCAUUCCUUCUAUCUCGCCUGUUUCUAAUUUAUUUCUCUAUUUCUUCAUUUCUUCCUUGACUGUCUUCAUUCUUUGCUUUUUAUUUCUUUCUCCUUAAAUGACAGACCUUUUCUUAGAUGCCAUUUCUCUAUGUCUGCGCUUAAGACAAGAAUUUUUUUCCUCCUAGUUGUUGGUUAAUGUCUGCAAAUGUGAGAGCAUGUUAACAUGACAAACAACAAGGAAUUUGAAAUAAACUUAAAUGAAACA